ACACCGUUGGUGAAGUGGUUAUCAUGCUUGCCUUCCAUGCCCUGCAACAAUAACAAAUAGUAACUUGAAGCAAGCGGCUCGGGUUCGAUUCCCGAACGGUGUA